rnacentral:rRNA from 1 species
GACGAACGCUGGCGGCGUGCCUAAUACAUGCAAGUCGAGCGGACAGACGGGAGCUUGCUCCCUGAUGUUAGCGGCGGACGGGUGAGUAACACGUGGGUAACCUGCCUGUAAGACUGGGAUAACUCCGGGAAACCGGGGCUAAUACCGGAUGGUUGUCUGAACCGCAUGGUUCAGACAUAAAAGGUGGCUUCGGCUACCACUUACAGAUGGACCCGCGGCGCAUUAGCUAGUUGGUGAGGUAACGGCUCACCAAGGCAACGAUGCGUAGCCGACCUGAGAGGGUGAUCGGCCACACUGGGACUGAGACACGGCACAGACUCCUACGGGAGGCAGCAGUAGGGAAUCUUCCGCAAUGGACGAAAGUCUGACGGAGCAACGCCGCGUGAGUGAUGAAGGUUUUCGGAUCGUAAAGCUCUGUUGUUAGGGAAGAACAAGUGCCGUUCAAAUAGGGCGGCACCUUGACGGUACCUAACCAGAAAGCCACGGCUAACUACGUG